rnacentral:rRNA from 1 species
CCUGCUCAGGAUGAACGCUGGCGGCGUGCCUAAUACAUGCAAGUCGAGCGAACAGAUAAGGAGCUUGCUCCUUUGACGUUAGCGGCGGACGGGUGAGUAACACGUGGGUAACCUACCUAUAAGACUGGGAUAACUUCGGGAAACCGGAGCUAAUACCGGAUAACAUUUGGAACCGCAUGGUUCUAAAGUGAAAGAUGGUUUUGCUAUCACUUAUAGAUGGACCCGCGCCGUAUUAGCUAGUUGGUAAGGUAACGGCUUACCAAGGCGACGAUACGUAGCCGACCUGAGAGGGUGAUCGGCCACACUGGAACUGAGACACGGUCCAGACUCCUACGGGAGGCAGCAGUAGGGAAUCUUCCGCAAUGGGCGAAAGCCUGACGGAGCAACGCCGCGUGAGUGAUGAAGGGUUUCGGCUCGUAAAACUCUGUUAUUAGGGAAGAACAAACGUGUAAGUAACUGUGCACGUCUUGACGGUACCUAAUCAGAAAGCCACGGCUAACUACGUGCCAGCAGCCGCGGUAAUACGUAGGUGGCAAGCGUUAUCCGGAAUUAUUGGGCGUAAAGCGCGCGUAGGCGGUUUCUUAAGUCUGAUGUGAAAGCCCACGGCUCAACCGUGGAGGGUCAUUGGAAACUGGGAAACUUGAGUGCAGAAGAGGAAAGUGGAAUUCCAUGUGUAGCGGUGAAAUGCGCAGAGAUAUGGAGGAACACCAGUGGCGAAGGCGACUUUCUGGUCUGUAACUGACGCUGAUGUGCGAAAGCGUGGGGAUCAAACAGGAUUAGAUACCCUGGUAGUCCACGCCGUAAACGAUGAGUGCUAAGUGUUAGGGGGUUUCCGCCCCUUAGUGCUGCAGCUAAC